UCAUCCGUUUCUCCAGUUCCUACAACUCAGCAUUACGUUAAACACCUUGUCAAAAAUGAUUGAGAUGGCCAAUCAAAUCAAAAAAGGCGAGUGCCACUGGCCAAUCACAUAACAGAAGACGAGCUUUCCUGUUAACGGAAGCCGAGCGGCGGCCAAUCAAAUUAACCAAUAGGCGGGGUUACCGUCGGAGUAGCAGUUACACCGCGUCAAUCAAUCAUAACGGACACAGAUUUCAAAGGCAGCAGGAUGAAAGAUAUGUGUCUGUGUUCAUCAAGACAUGAAGACUCUGGAGUGGGACAAGAGAAGGAUGGUGGGGUGUUAUUCCAAUAGACACAUUAAGUCACAUUGUGAUUUCAGUGAAAGCAGAUAAAUACAGAGGGCUGGACAGUGGUUUCAUUCAUUAGGUAAAGAGGUGGGACAAUGAUGCUGACAGGACAGGAGGAGGUGACAUUCAGACAUUCAACCCAGCCAUUUUCAUCCAAAGCAACUUGAGGAAGAAAACAGAAGCAGUUCAUCCUAAAAGUGAGCUGCUGUAAUGUUUACAUCUAUGGAAAGAGGUGCUGAGAAGAAAAGAGAGGCUGGAAAGCAGUACUUCUUGUUGAGGACAAUCCUGAAUAGGAACACUUUCUCAUACACAUAGAUUAUUAUUAGUGCUUGAUUGUUUGUUUCAUUUUUAUGAAUUGUAUUGUUUUAAUUUUUCGUUUUAUUUGAAAUUACCUAAGUUAGAUUCAUGCUAAUACUUUAACUGGACCUUGUAUCUUUGCUGGCUGGCUGGCUGUAGAGUUGGUUUCACAUACACAUGAAGUUUCUAAUUAACUAACUUUUAAGUUCAGUUUGGUUUAAACUUGUAUUUACCCAUGGUAAUUCAUUUAAAUUUCUAUUCAUGCUUAUAUAUUAAUUUCAAUGAACUUCUGUAUUUGUGUAUAGCUGGCAAUUUGGGCAAGCUACGUUUAACACACAAAUGUAACUGUCACAAAGGUUUUUUUUAUUAUCAGUUUGUUCUUAACUUUUGUUUGUUUACUAAGGAUGAAAUUGCUUUGUAAUUUAAGUUGUUGGUAGAUUCAUGCCAAUAAUGUAUUUGAACAAACUAGUAUUUUUGUUUAUUGCUGGCAGUUUAUACUAGAAGAGUUUUAACACAUACAAUGUUGUAGUGUUAUUGACUUGUGUGCUAUUGAUUAAUAAAACGGCAAACAAUUUGAAAGUAAUUUUUCGUGUGAUUUAUUUAUUAAUAUAAUUUGGGAAAGAUUAGGCUGAGUUAUGGCUCAGUUUUGGAAGUUCUGGUUAAAUGCUGGUUUUAAUAUGGUUGACCUAUGGCUGAGAACUGGUACCGAUGUUAUAACCUGUUCUGGCCCAGGUUUGGGCCAAUUAUGGGCUAUUUUCUGUCAGAGACAUGGGCCAGUUGUGGCCCAUGUGUGGCCUUUGUCCGUAAUUCAGAACUGGGCCACUGUAGGGCCGUCAUUCUUCGUUGUAUGUGGGCCGAGGAAAAACUGGUUGUGUGGGCCGGAGCUGGGCCGGAACAAAAUUGC